GGUGGCUCAGUGGUAAAGUGCUUGCCUUGCAUGCAUGAGGUCCUGGGUUCGAUUCCUUAGCACCA
rnacentral:tRNA from 1 species